rnacentral:rRNA from 1 species
UACAGAGGUCUCAAGCGUUGUUCGGAUUCAUUGGGCGUAAAGGGUGCGUAGGCGGGCGGGCAAGUCUGCGGUGAAAGCCUCCAGCUCAACUGGAGAAGUGCCGUGGAUACUGCUCAUCUUGAGGAGGGUAGGGGCGUCUGGAACGUUGGGUGGAGCGGUGAAAUGCGUUGAUAUCCAACGGAACUCCGGUGGCGAAGGCGAGGCGCUGGACCCUUUCUGACGCUGAGGAGCGAAAGCUAGGGGAGCAAACGGG